UUCUGCAGCGCAGCUCCGGAGACCUUGCACCCCAUAAGGGAGGCAGCACGACAGUAAACAAAGCUUGCCGUGUGCAAGUUGGCUUGGUAGCCAGCAACACAAUCGAAUUGACGGGGACCUCCUAAAGCCUGUAACACCAACCGUCCGGGGAAACUCGGGCGGGGCCCUCACGGGGUGGUAAGAGAGUACAGGAUGAACAAUGGACGAUCCGCAGCGAAGACCCUACCGGCGAGAGCCCACGGGUACCGUU
rnacentral:misc_RNA from 1 species